rnacentral:rRNA from 1 species
GAUGAACGCUGGCGGCGUGCCUAAUACAUGCAAGUCGAGCGAACGGACGAGAAGCUCGCUUUUCUGAUGUUAGCGGCGGACGGGUGAGUAACACGUGGAUAACCUACCUAUAAGACUGGGAUAACUUCGGGAAACCGGAGCUAAUACCGGAUAAUAUUUUGAACCGCAUGGUUCAAAAGUGAAAGACGGUCUUGCUGUCACUUAUAGAUGGAUCCGCGCUGCAUUGGCUAGUUGGUAAGGUAACGGCUUACCAAGGCAACGAUGCAUAGCCGACCUGAGAGGGUGAUCGGCCACACUGGAACUGAGACACGGUCCAGACUCCUACGGGAGGCAGCAGUAGGGAAUCUUCCGCAAUGGGCGAAAGCCUGACGGAGCAACGCCGCGUGAGUGAUGAAGGGCUUCGGAUCGUAAAACUCUGUUAUUAGGGAAGAACAUAUGUGUAAGUAACUGUGCGCAUCUUGACGGUACCUAAUCAGAAAGCCACGGCUAACUACGU